CGACGCCGCGUGUGGGAUGACGGCCUUCGGGUUGUAAACCACUGUCGGAGGGACGAAUGCGCCGCAAGGCGAGUGACGGUACCUCCAAAGGAAGCACCGGCUAACUCCGUGCCAGCAGCCGCGGUAAUACGGAGGGUGCGAGCGUUGUCCGGAAUCACUGGGCGUAAAGGGCGCGUAGGCGGCCUGAUAAGUAGGGGGUGAAAUCCUGCGGCUUAACCGCAGGGCUGCCUUCUAAACUGUCAGGCUCGAGCACAGUAGAGGCAGGUGGAAUUCUCGGUGUAGCGGUGGAAUGCGUAGAGAUCGGGAAGAACAUCAGUGGCGAAGGCGGCCUGCUGGGCUGUUGCUGACGCUGAGGCGCGACAGCGUGGGGAGCAAACAGGAUUAGAUACCCUGGUAGUCCACGCCGUAAACGAUGGACACUAGGCGUCGGGGGGAGCGACCCUCCCGGUGCCGUCGCUAACGCAGUAAGUGUCCCGCCUGGGGAGUACGGCCGCAAGGCUG
rnacentral:rRNA from 1 species